rnacentral:rRNA from 1 species
UUUUAGGAUGGUAGGGGAGCGUUCUAUGAUAGGUUGAAGCCUUACUAAAAAGAGAGGUGGACGAAAUAGAAGUGAGAAUGCCGGUAUAAGUAGCGAUAAUAUAAGUGAGAAUCUUAUUCGCCGAAAGCCUAAGGUUUCCUGGGGAAGGUAAAUCCGCCCAGGGUUAGCCGGUACCUAAGUCGAGGUCGAAAGGCGUAGACGAUGGACAACAGGUUAAUAUUCCUGUGCUGCUAUUUAACGUUUGAGCUUGGGAGGACGUGGACACAACGAUUAGCAAACCCAGUAGACAUGGUUUGUUCAAGCUGGAGAUGCCGCUCUAGGAAAAUCCGGAGCAAUAAGGUGUCGAAAGCGAGUACGUUGGCUCUUGGCCUAGAAGUAAUCUGAGUGUCUUCCAAGAAAAGUCUCGUUAGCGAGUUAACAUGGCAACCGUACUAAAACUGACACAGGUAGGCAAGGAGAGAAUCCUAAGGCGCUCGAGAGAACCCUCGUUAAGGAAUUCGGCAAACAUACUCCGUAACUUCGGGAUAAGGAGUGCCUUUUUAACUUCGGUUAAAAAGGUCGCAGUGAAAAAGGUCCGGGCGACUGUUUACUAAAAACACAGGUCUCUGCUAAAAUGUAUAAUUGAUGUAUAGAGACUGACGCGUGCUCGAUGCCAGAAAGUUAAGGGGAUAGGUUAUUUCCUGAGCAAUCAGGAGAGAAGCUUGGAACUGAAGCUCUGGUGAAUGGCGGCUCUAACUAUGAGAGUCCUAAGGUAGCGAAGUUCCUUGUCGGGUAAUUUCCGACGCGCAUGAAUCGCGUAACGACCUGGACACUGUCUCAACGAGGGACUCGGCGAAAUUGUAGUUGUGGUGAAGAUGCCACAUACCCGCGGAAAGACGGAAAGACCCCGUGAACCUUUACUGUAGCUUAUUAUUGGAUUUUGGCGCAGUAUGUGUAGGAUAGGUGGGAGACGAGGAAGUUUCGACGUAAGUUGGAAUGGAGUCAAUGGUGAAAUACCACUCUUACUUUGUUAAAAUUCUAAAGGAAUACCGUGAAUCCGGGUUCUUGACAGUGGUAAGUGGGCAGUUUGACUGGGGCGGUCUCCUCCAAAAAAGUAACGGAGGAGUCCAAAGGCUCCCUCAAUGCGGUUGGCAACCGCAUGUAGAGUGUAAAGGCAUAAGGGAGCUUAACUGCGAGACCUAUAAGUCGAGCAGGUGUGAAAGCAGGGCUUAGUGAUCCGGCGGUUUCUGAGUGGAAAGGCCGUCGCUCAACAGAUAAAAGGUACUCCGGGGAUAACAGGCUGAUCUCCUCCGAGCGUUCAUAGCGGCGAGGAGGUUUGGCACCUCGAUGUCGGCUCAUCGCAUCCUGGGGCUGAAGAAGGUCCCAAGGGUUUGGGAGUUCACCAAUUAAAGCGGUACGCGAGCUGGGUUUAGACCGUCGUGAGACAGGUCGGUCCCUAUCUUCCGUGGGCGUACGAUAUUUGAGAAAAUCUGCCUCUAGUACGAGAGGAUCGAGGUGGACGAACCUAUGGUGAGUCAGUUGUUGUGCUAACAGCAUGGCUGAGUAGCUAAGUUCGGAAAGGAUAAACGCUGAAAGCAUAUAAGCGUGAAGCCUGCUUUAAGACUAGAUAUCGUUCUCUAAUUUAUUAGGGUGAAGACAUCUUAAAGACUAUGAGAUUGAUAGGCCAGGUGUGUAAGUCCGGUAACGGAUUCAGCUAACUGGUACUAAUUUGUCGAAAAGCUUGAUCAC